UACGUAGGGGGCAAGCGUUGUCCGGAAUCAUUGGGCGUAAAGAGCGUGUAGGCGGCCUGAUAAGUCGGUUGUGAAAGUCAAGGGCUCAACCCUUGAAUGCCGGCCGAUACUGUCAGGCUAGAGUCCGGAAGAGGCGAGUGGAAUUCCUGGUGUAGCGGUGAAAUGCGCAGAUAUCAGGAGGAACACCGAUGGCGAAGGCAGCUCGCUGGGACGGUACUGACGCUGAGGAGCGAAAGCGUGGGGAGCGAACAGG
rnacentral:rRNA from 1 species